GCUUGUCUCAAAGAUUAAGCCAUGCAUGUCUAAGUAUAACUCUUUUACUUUGAAAACUGCGAACGGCUCAUUAUAUCAGUUAUAGUUUCUUUGAUAGUACUUACUACUUGGAUAACCGUGGUAAUUCUAGAGCUAAUACAUGCGAAAAGACCCGACUUCUGGAAGGGUUGUAUUUAUUAGAUAAAAAACCAAUGGGGGCAACCUCUUUGUGGUGAUUCAUAAUAACUUUGCGAAUCGCAUGGCCUUGUGCCGGCGAUGAAUCAUUCAAAUUUCUGCCCUAUCAACUUUCGAUGGUAAGGUAUUGGCUUACCAUGGUUGCAACGGGUGACGGGGAAUUAGGGUUCGAUUCCGGAGAGGGAGCCUGAGAAAUGGCUACCACAUCCAAGGAAGGCAGCAGG
rnacentral:rRNA from 1 species